rnacentral:rRNA from 1 species
AUUGAACGCUGGCGGCAGGCCUAACACAUGCAAGUCGAGCGGAGCGGCGGACGGGGGAGUAAUGCCUAGGAAUCUGACAGGUAGUGGGGGAUAACGUCAGGAAACGGGCGCCAAUACUGCAUACUCUCAGAUGCAGAUAGGUGGGAUUAGGUAGAUGGUGGGGUAAAGGCCGACCAAGGCGACGAUACGGAACUGGUCUGAGAGGACGAACAGUCACGCUGGAACGGAGACACGGUCCAUCUUCCUACGGGAGGCAGCAGUGGGGAAGAUUGGACAAUGGGCGAAAGCCUGAUCCAGCCAUGCCGCGUGUGUGAAGAAGGUCUUCGGACUGUAAAGCACUUUAAGUUGGGCGGCGUUACCCACAGAAUAAGCACCGGCUAACUUCGUGCCAGCAGCCGCGGUAAUAC